rnacentral:rRNA from 1 species
CGACGGUGAGAGGCGAAGGCUGGGGGCGCAAACCGGAUUAGAUACCCGGGUAGUCCCAGCAGUAAACGAUGCCAGCUAUGUGUUGCUGGAACCAUGGGUUCCACAGUGCCGAAGGGAAGCCGCGAAGCUGGCCACCUGGGAAGUACGGUCGCAAGGCUGAAACUUAAAGGAAUUGGCGGGGGAGUACCACAACCGGUGGAGCCUGCGGUUUAAUUGGAUACAACGCCGGGAAUCUUACCGGAGGGGACAGCAGUAUGAAGGCCAGGCUAAAGACCUUGCCAGAUCAGCUGAGAGGAGGUGCAUGGCCGUCGCCAGUUCGUACCGUGAGGCAUCCUGUUUAGUCAGGCAACGAUCGAGACCCGCAGUCUUAUUUGCCAGCAUGCCCUUUGGGGUGUAUGGGUACAAUAAGACGACCGCCAGCGCUAAGCUGGAGGAAGGAGCGGGCUACGGUAGGUCAGCAUGCCCCGAAUCCUCCGGGAUACACGCGGGCUACAAUGGUCAGGACAAAAGGUACCGACCUCGAAAGAGUGAGGUAAUCCACAAACCUGAUCUCAGUCCGGAUCGAAGGCUGCAACUCGCCUUCGUGAAGAUGGAAUCGGUAGUAAUCGUGACUCAAAAUGUCACGGUGAAUAUGUCCCUGCUCCUUGCACACACCGACCGU